UUUAAAUGACCAUUUAAUUUUUUUUGUACCUGUUAAACCAUUAAACUCAAAAAUUACAUGUAUAUAAUACCAUGUUGCUUAAAAUUAUCAGGUUUUCAGGUUACAUAUUUGUUGAUGUGUACAUUGACUUCUUAUAGUUGUCCAUACAGACUUUCACAUGGAAGAACCAUCAUCUAUCUCCCCGCCACCACCUUCCGUUUCCUCUCAUUACCACCGUCACCAUCUAUUCAGUGCAAAAUCAAGAUGAAAAGGCAUGUACUUUUCAAGGUUUAGCCAUGGGCCUUAGUAGCGACAUUUUCAAGGUUUUGGACAUCACACCCCACAUAAACCUGCAAAUCGGAAGCGAAAGAGAAAGGGGAGGGGGUAUUUUGAAGCAAUCGUUUUGUUUUAAGGGGGAUUGAAUGCACACAACACGUACAAGCCAAUCAUUCUAACCUGUUCAACAAUUUUUCAUUCUGUUCUUUGUUCUUCGAUUUUUAACCUAAACCUGCAAAAGAUUCUAACCUACUCAUCAUCUUCUUUUCUUUGAUUCACACAUUGUUUUUAGAGAGACGGGGGAACUACCAUCGUUGUCUAGCUUUCGAAUCGUUUAUGCCCUAGUUGAAGAAACACCUCCAUGGAUUUUUGUAGCAAAGCAGUUUGUAUCGGUAACCGAUUACCAAAACAAUUACAAUCGGAGCAGAAGAAGACAAGAUUUCUGGCUUCAAUAAAAGUGAUCUGGUAUUGCCUUUUGUGAAUCUAGAAGAAAACGAAGUUUAUGGAUUCCGUGAGAUUCAUCCGAACCCAUUUUUCAUUCCGAUUUCAAUAUGAUCAAUCUGAGAAAAGGGAACUGAAGUUGCCAUGUUCUUCAAUUUUUACCGGACACGAAAAUAUGAAGCAUGUUCAUCGUCUUUACACCCUAACCCCCUUUUUUUUGUUCUAAUUUCUUUCAUUGAAGCCUUGACAAUCGAUUGGUGGAUGGAAAUGCAUAGACACACAAAAGGAAACGACAAACUCCUGCUCCACACAUCAUCACUGUUCUUGAUACUAUGUGGUUUCAUCGGUUUUGAGUUCGUGUAGGAAUGGAGAAGCGAAUUCUUAAAUUCAUGUAACUUAAUUUCUUGAAUUGAUUAAAUGCGAGGAUGUAAAACGGAAACACACAUACACAUUAUGAGUUUGUUUUCAUCGCAUUUACAACACAAUCGUUUUAACCCACAAAAUUGAUUUGAGAUCGGAAACGUGAAUGCUUUACUAAUAGCGGUGGAAGUGGGAGGAGGUGGGCGGUGGUGAUUUUCGAUUGGUGAAGACCGUGGAAGAUUGUGACAAGAAAUUAGGGCUCUUUUACCGCAGAAAAGAGAGAACGGGAAAAAGAUAAGGGAUAAAAUGGGUGGACAUGGUAGUCAUGGGGAAACAUAAAUCGUUGAGUUUCAGAAGUUAAUGAACACAUCAGCAAAUCUAACCUUGAAACCUUGUAAUUUUAAGCAAAAUGGUGUUUUAGACAGACAAUUUUCGAGUUUAAUGGUUUAACAGAUACAAAAAAAGUUAAGUAAUCAUUUAAAACCAAACGUAAAACUUUCA